ACUCCCUUAAAAUCUCACAUACAACAUCUCUUAUUUUUCCAAAUUCCAUUAAACAUAAAAUAAAAAAGUUAGAAACAAAACCGUAAACACAAACACACUGCCUCAUUUUCUCUUCACCUUUCAUGUGUUUUUUUUUCUCCCACUAUUAAAGAAAAAAAAAAGUUUGAAGUCAUUCCCUUUCUAAAUAUUCUACAUUUCUUUGGUAUUCUUUGAAGACUUUAAAAGAGGAGAACAUUGCUAUAAUAUGUACGGUAUUUUGAGACACUGCAUAAAAAGGUGGAUGUUCCCAAGAAAUAUAUAUCAAUCUAAUAUAAGGUUGUUUUUCAUGCAAGAUAUUUGCAAUAAUCUUAUUAAAACCGACUCCACGUGCCACUUCGUCUUCGGUGUAUGGUGUGUUAGAGAUAUUACACCAUGUAAACGGGACGUCGGAUCAUUUUGUUUUCGCAACAUAUUUAUAAUCAUUUAAUCAAAUCUGCUAAACAUAACAAAACACAGCGCAUAUACAACUAGCAGUUAGGAAUGCACCUGUUGUGGCACAACGCUGACGUUCGUCAACCUGCUAUGAUCGUUCAUAAUCCGAGUGAAUUCGAGAUAUUGGCUACCUUAGCUUUCAGUCAUUUCCUUACUUUGUUGAAUCAGCGUGUGCAUCUUCCGUUGAACUUUACUGAGUGGAAUGUUGUAAUUGAAGAUGUGUCUCAUUUGCUCAAUGAUACAUUGUUUAAAGAUAUUCAACACACGUCACUGAGGUAAAUUAUACAUAGCGUAUAUAAUUUGGUACAAGAAAAAACAGAGUUAUUAUCGUGGAUUCUGAACAAGAAGCAAAAGAUAAUAAAUUGAAUACGAAGAUUACGCAUUACGCAAGAAUUGACAUAGCACCGUUUUAAAUCAUCCAUGGCAUAACAUAUGAGAAAUAAAACGGUGAAUCAUAUUAAAUAUUUUCGAUCAUGUUAAACACAAAUAACAAUCUGAUACCAUGUCAUAAUUAUCAUGUAUGUCAUAACAUAUGAGAAACAAAACGGUGAAUCAUGUUAAAUAUAUAAAUUGUUAUCGUUC